UACGUAGGGUGCAAGCGUUAAUCGGAAUUACUGGGCGUAAAGCGUGCGCAGGCGGUUGUGCAAGACCGAUGUGAAAUCCCCGGGCUUAACCUGGGAAUGGCAUUGGUGACUGCACGGCUAGAGUGUGUCAGAGGGGGGUAGAAUUCCACGUGUAGCAGUGAAAUGCGUAGAUAUGCGGAGGAACACCGAUGGCGAAGGCAAUCCCCUGGACCUGUACUGACGCUCAUGCACGAAAGCGUGGGGAGCAAACGAGG
rnacentral:rRNA from 1 species